GCUUCGUCUCUACACGGUCUGCGGUGACUUCUGAUAGAAAGACGCCUUUGUACGUCAUAUCAUGUUCAUCCUAUUGCCUAUGAAAAUCAGAUUGGGUUACAUACAUUUUUUAUUUCCGACCAAUCUUUGUUCGAAGUCAGCGCUUGUGUCUAUCACUUGAUGUUCUGCCUACCGGCUUCCAAUAUCCAGAAUCGUUACGGAAACUGCAAGCAUUCAAUCAUGAUUAUCAAAUCUCUACCCGGUCCCUCACACAAUGUCUCAUUCAAUACAUCCCCUCAUUUCUUCAAUGAGAUUACAAUUGCAAACUCCUCUGUUAAUCGCCGCCGUAAGUGUUUCUCGCCGACUUGAAAAUCGGAAUUUGUAGCACCACCGUCGAGGUUCGACUUCUGAGAUCUUGGGAGGGAGGCGGCGAGCUAAUAUAUGUCGACAUGCAAUUCCUAGACGCAAAGUGUGUUUGUAUCCUCCAGCAAUUGAUACAACCAUAUAGGACAAGUGCGUAACUUCAGUGAAGAUGUGUCUCAAAUGCCUGAAAUCAAAGACAGUGAUGUUCUGAAUGCUUAGAAAGGCUUGAUGGCUACAGAUUUGGAAGCUCUACCUUCUGCUGUUGUUCACGACACCAAAAACACAAUCUCGAAAAACACAGAGGACAAGGCAGGGCAAGAGGCUGGGUCUGAUCAUUAGUUCGCC